CACAGAAGUCCUCAGCCACCCACCAACCCUCUGCCCCUGAGGGAACCCAAUCCCAGGACAGCUGAGAGUGAUGCCAGGACCCGAGGCCAAGUCUAAUUCCAUAGCCACCAGCAGGGCCAGGCAAGAAAUCAAGACCUAGAGAGAAAUGACUUCCUCAAGGUGACCCAGCAAGUCGGCACCAGAGCCUGGAUAAAGCGUUAGCAGUUGCCUGCUGCCGCCCUGGGACUACUAGGGCCUAAGGGAGAGCAAGAGAGAUGAUUGACCACCACCUCUCCUCAGCAGCCACGGACACCGCAGCAGAAGGAACUACCGACAUGUGAGAGGCGAAACUGUCCCUCUCCUCCCAGGGACCCGGUGGCAGAGCUGGGGCUGGAACCUCUACAGCCUCUACACUGCCUUGGCCUCAGUCAUCACUCGAAGAUGCCAGAUGAUGUCUCGAAAACACAAGCUCAGAUGUCUAGAGCCCAGGAGACGGAGGAAGUCUGGGGUCUCACUGUGUAUCCGAGCUAACCUAGAACUCAAGGUCCUUCUCCUUUAACCUCCCAAAUGCUGGAAUUAAAGGCAUGGACUUCCACAUUUGGCACCAAAUCAACACCUUUAAAACAAUGACAAUUCUUACCGUCUCCCCAUCCACACCU